GAUGAAGAACGCAGCGAAAUGCGAUACUUGGUGUGAAUUGCAGAAUCCCGUGAACCAUCGAGUCUUUGAACGCAAGUUGCGCCUCAAGCCAUUAGGUUGAGGGCACGUCUGCCUGGGCGUCACAUAUCGUUGCCUGAUGCCAGUUUCCUCGUGAUGGGUGACUGUGCAGGGCGAAUGAUGGCUUCCCGUGAGCAUUGUUGUCUCAUGGUUGGUUGAAAAUUGAGUCCUUGGUAGGGAGCGCCGUGAUAGAUGGUGGUUGAGUGACGAACGAGACCCAAUCAUGUGAGACCCCUACCGAAUUUGGCCUUCAUGACCCACAUGCGUCUUUGGAACGCUCAUGACGAGACCUCAGGUCAGGCGGGGCUACCCGCUGAGUUUAAGCAUAUCAAUAAGCGGAGGA
rnacentral:misc_RNA from 1 species